rnacentral:rRNA from 1 species
AACGAACGCUGGCGGCAGGCCUAACACAUGCAAGUCGAGCGAGACCUUCGGGUCUAGCGGCGGACGGGUUAGUAACGCGUGGGAACGUGCCCUUCUCUGCGGAAUAGCCACUGGAAACGGUGAGUAAUACCGCAUACGCCCUUCGGGGGAAAGAUUUAUCGGAGAAGGAUCGGCCCGCGUUAGAUUAGAUAGUUGGUGGGGUAAUGGCCUACCAAGUCUACGAUCUAUAGCUGGUUUUAGAGGAUGAUCAGCAACACUGGGACUGAGACACGGCCCAG